GAUGAACGCUGGCGGCGUGCCUAAUACAUGCAAGUCGAGCGAACAGACGAGGAGCUUGCUCCUUUGACGUUAGCGGCGGACGGGUGAGUAACACGUGGAUAACCUACCUAUAAGACUGGGAUAACUUCGGGAAACCGGAGCUAAUACCGGAUAACAUGUUGAACCGCAUGGUUCAACAGUGAAAGACGGUCUUGCUGUCACUUAUAGAUGGAUCCGCGCCGCAUUAGCUAGUUGGUAAGGUAACGGCUUACCAAGGCAACGAUGCGUAGCCGACCUGAGAGGGUGAUCGGCCACACUGGAACUGAGACACGGUCCAGACUCCUACGGGAGGCAGCAGUAGGGAAUCUUCCGCAAUGGGCGAAAGCCUGACGGAGCAACGCCGCGUGAGUGAAGAAGGUCUUCGGAUCGUAAAACUCUGUUAUUAGGGAAGAACAAAUGUGUAAGUAACUAUGCACGCCUUGACGGUACCUAAUCAGAAAGCCACGGCUAACUACGUG
rnacentral:rRNA from 1 species